UCAGAUUGAACGCUGGCGGUAGGCUUAACACAUGCAAGUCGUGCGAGAAAGUAUCUUCGGAUAUGAGUAGAGCGGCGGACGGGUGAGUAACGCGUAGGAAUCUACCUAGUAGAAGGGGAUAGCCCGGGGAAACCCGGAUUAAUACCGUAUACCUCCUUCGGGAGAAAGAAGGCCUCUCUUUGAAGCUUUCGCUAUUAGAUGAGCCUGCGUAAGAUUAGCUUGUUGGUGAGGUAAAGGCUCACCAAGGCGACGAUCUUUAGCUGGUCUGAGAGGACGAUCAGCCACAUUGGGACUGAGACACGGCCCAGACUCCUACGGGAGGCAGCAGUGGGGAAUAUUGGACAAUGGGCGCAAGCCUGAUCCAGCCAUACCGCGUGUGUGAAGAAGGCCUUCGGGUUGUAAAGCACUUUAAGCAGGGAGAAAAAGUUAUAAGUUAAUACCUUAUAACCGUGAUGUUACCUGCAGAAUAAGCACCGGCUAAUUCCGUGCCAGCAGCCGCGGUAAUACGGAAGGUGCAAGCGUUAAUCGGAAUUACUGGGCGUAAAGCGCGCGUAGGUGGUUUGUUAAGUUGGAUGUGAAAGCCCUGGGCUCAACCUAGGAACUGCAUCCAAAACUAACUCACUAGAGUACGAUAGAGGGAGGUAGAAUUCAUAGUGUAGCGGUGGAAUGCGUAGAUAUUAUGAAGAAUACCAGUGGCGAAGGCGGCCUCCUGGAUCUGUA
rnacentral:rRNA from 1 species